CCUCUGGUUCCUGUACAAUCACUGAAGUUAAGCAAUGUUCAGUCUGUUUAGUACUUAGAUGGGUGACCGCUUGUGAAUACCAGGUGCUGUAAG